UCCUUUAAAAAGUCAGGGCUCACCAUAU
rnacentral:piRNA from 1 species